UACGAACUGUGCAAACGUUAUUCGGAUUCACUGGGCUUAAAGGGUGCGUAGGCGGCCAUGUAAGUAGGGUGUGAAAUCCCCCGGCUUAACCGGGGAACUGCGCCCUAAACUGUAUGGCUGGAGUGAGAUAGGGGUGUGUGGAACUUCCGGUGGAGCGGUGAAAUGUGUUGAUAUCGUCAGGAAUGCCGGUGGUGAAGACGGGUGACUGGGCUGGUUCUGACACUGAGGCACGAAAGCGUGGGGAGCGAACGGG
rnacentral:rRNA from 1 species